CCUACGGGUGACAGCAGUGGGGAAUAUUGGGCAAUGGGCGCAAGCCUGACCCAGCAACGCCGCGUGAAGGAAGAAGGCUCUCGGGUUGUAAACUUCUUUUUAGGGGGAAGAGCAGAAGACGGUACCCCUUGAAUAAGCCACGGCUAACUACGUGCCAGCAGCCGCGGUAAUACGUAGGUGGCAAGCGUUGUCCGGAUUUACUGGGUGUAAAGGGCGUGCAGCCGGAGAGACAAGUCAGAUGUGAAAUCCACGGGCUCAACCCGUGAACUGCAUUUGAAACUGUUUCCCUUGAGUGUCGGAGAGGUAAUCGGAAUUCGUGGUGUAGCGGUGAAAUGCGUAGAUAUCAGGAAGAACACCAGUGGCGAAGGCGGAUUACUGGACGAUAACUGACGGUGAGGCGCGAAAGCGUGGGGAGCAAACAGGAUUAGAUACCCUUGUAGUC
rnacentral:rRNA from 1 species